GUCUAGAGGGUUCGAUUCUGGCUCAGAAUGAACGCUGGCGGCAUGGAUUAGGCAUGCAAGUCGAACGGGGCCCUUCGGGGCCGAGUGGCGAAAGGGUGAGUAACACGUGAGCAAUCUGCCCCCAAGGCUGGAAUAAGCACUGGAAACGGUGUCUAAAACCGGAUGAGGUCCGGGACCGCAUGAUCCCGCAACCAAAUAUUUAUACCCUGGGGAUGAGCUCGCGGCCCAUUAGCUAGUUGGCGGGGUAACGGCCCACCAAGGCUGCGACGGGUAGGUGGUCUGAGAGGAUGGUCACCCACACUGGGACUGAGACACUGCCCAGACUCCUACGGGAGGCUGCAGUCGAGAAUCUUCCGCAAUGGGCGCAAGCCUGACGGAGCGAUGCCGCGUGAGGGACGAAGGCCUUCGGGUCGUAAACCUCUGUCACCGGGGACGAAACCUGACGGUACCCGGAAAGGAAGCCACGGCUAACCACGUGCCAGCAGCAGC
rnacentral:rRNA from 1 species